GCUAAAAUAGUUUAAAAAAAACCUUGAAUUGUGGUUUCAAUAAUGCAGAUUUGAUGCUUUUAGCC
rnacentral:tRNA from 1 species